GAAAUAUUUGUAAUUGCAACUUAAUUUUCCUGUAACAUAGUGUGAUUAAUUUUCAGUAGGGGGUUAUAAAAAUUG
rfam:Staphylococcus aureus subsp. aureus NCTC 8325, complete genome.